rnacentral:rRNA from 1 species
AUUGAACGCUGGCGGCAGGCCUAACACAUGCAAGUCGAACGGUAACAGGAAGAAGCUUGCUUCUUUGCUGACGAGUGGCGGACGGGUGAGUAAUGUCUGGGAAACUGCCUGAUGGAGGGGGAUAACUACUGGAAACGGUAGCUAGUACCGCAUAACGUCGCAAGACCAAAGAGGGGGACCUUCGGGCCUCUUGCCAUCGGAUGUGCCCAGAUGGGAUUAGCUAGUAGGUGGGGUAACGGCUCACCUAGGCGACGAUCCCUAGCUGGUCUGAGAGGAUGACCAGCCACACUGGAACUGAGACACGGUCCAGACUCCUACGGGAGGCAGCAGUGGGGAAUAUUGCACAAUGGGCGCAAGCCUGAUGCAGCCAUGCCGCGUGUAUGAAGAAGGCCUUCGGGUUGUAAAGUACUUUCAGCGGGGAGGAAGGGAGUAAAGUUAAUACCUUGGCUAAUUGACGUUACCCGCAGAAGAAGCACCGGCUAACUCCGUG